AGCCACCAACCUCACCCACUCAAAGAAGCAGGGAUGGCCAGGUUCCAACAGCCUGAGUGGCUGCCACCUGAUGGCUGAUGGAGCAGAGGUCUGAGGAAAAGCAGAUGACACUGCUUUGUAGUGCCCUUCUUUGUCUGUCUUGAUCUUUUUCAGUUAAAGUCUGUUUUAUCAGAGACUAGGAUUGCAAACCCUGCUUUUUUUUGCUUUCCGUUUGCUUGGUAAAUAUUCCUCCAUCCCUUCAUUUUAAGCCUAUGUGUGUCUUUGCACAUGAGAUGGAUCCUGAAUACAGGACACCAAUGGGUCUUUACUCUUUAUCCAACUUGCCAGUCUGUGUCUUUUAACUGGGGCAUUUAGCCCAUUUACAUUUAAGUUUAGUAUUGUUACAUGUGAAAUUUAUCCUGUCAUGAUGUUGCUUUUUAUUUUUCCCAUUAGUUAAUGCAGUUUUUUUAUAGUGUCAAUGGUCUUUACAAUUUGAUAUGUUUUUGUAGUGGCUGGUAUUGGUUGUUCCUUUCCAUGUUUAGUGCUUCCUUCAGGAGCUCUUGUAACGCAAGAAUGUGGAUUUAUUUCUUGUAAGGUAAAUAUGUGGAUUUAUUUCUCGGUGCUGUAUUCUAUGGCCUUUACCUCAAGAAUCAUUACUUUUUAAAAUGCAAUUCAAAUUAGCAUAAAACAUUUACAGCCUAGGGAAAGGCUUGUGGCAUUAGAAUACUUAUUUAUAGGAUUAUUUUGUGUUUUUUUGAGAUAUGGUCUUUGUCAUUGAGGCAGAAGUGCAGUGGUUUGAUCAUAAUUCACCACAGCCCUAAACUCUGAGUCCAAGCCAUCCUUUUGCCUUAAUCUCCCAACUAGUUGGAUCUACAAGCAUAAGGCAUCAUGCCUGGCUAAUUUUUUUACAUGUUUUUUUUUGUUGUUGUUGAGAUUAUGGUAUCACUGUGUUGCUCUAGCUGAUCUCAAAUUCCUGACCUCAAGGGAUCUUUCUGCCACAGCCUCCUAAAGUGCUAGGAUUACAUGCAUGAUACACCAUGCCUAUUGUAGAGUAUUACAUUAUUUUCAAAGUCUUAUUCUAAGAGCCAUUUAUUGACUUUGGCCUAAAUAACUCAAUAUAAUAUCCCUGAAACUUUUUUUUGACAAAUUUUGGGGCAUUAUGAUGAGAGAAGGGGGUUUGAAACUUUCUAAUAAGAGUUAACUUAGAGCCAUUUAAGAAGGAAAAAACACAAAUUAUAAGAAAAAUAAAAGUAAGAUCAAGUGCAAAAGUUGUGUGGCAAAGAUGAUGAGAGUAAAGAAUAUAUGUUUGUGACUCAUGGUGGCUUUUACUUUGUUCUUGAAUUUCUGAGUACGGGUUAACAUUUAAAGAAUCUACAUUAUAGAUAACAUUUUAUUGCAAGUAAAUGUAUUUCAAAAUUUGUUAUUGGUUUUGUAUGAGAUUAUUCUCAGCCUACUUCAUUAUCAAGCUAUAUUAUUUUAUUAAUGUAGUUUGAUGAUCUUACAGCAAAGCUGGAAGCUGUAUCUUCAAAAUAUGUCUAUUUGACUAAAAAGAAGUUAUUCAACAGGAGUUAUUAUCUAUGAAAAAAGUACAACAGGAAUAUAAAAAACUUGAAGAGGAUAAAAAGAUGUUGGAAGAAGUAAUGUUAAGUCUUAAAAAACAUAUGGAAAGUACACAUUGGUGAAGACACAUUGGUGAAGUACAAAAAUAUAAAUCAGAUCAAGAAGAAAGGGCAGUGCAGGCAAUAGAAAAAUUAGUAGAAAUCCCUUUACAGGUUAGUUUGUAAAAUUGGGUAAGUUUAUUUAUAAAGUGCUUUCAUUUAUUUCACUGCAAAUUAUAUUUUGGAUAUAUAUAUAUAUUGUGUUUCCUCUGCCUCUCUUAUAGCAAUUUGCCUUGUAGAGUUCUAGCAAAAAGGUGGCAUCUGUUUUUACUUUCAAAUAUUUAAAUUUCCAUCAUUAUAACAAAAUUGAUUUUUCAGAGUAAUGAUUCUCACUGUGGAGUCAUUUGAUUAUUAAGACCCGUUGGCAUAAGAUUACAUCCUCUGACUAUAAAAAUCCUGGAAGAAAACCUAGGAAAUAUUCGUCUGGACAUCGCACUUGGCAAUGAAUUUAUGGGCUCUUUGGAAUCCUGCAGAUAUAAUCAUGAUAAUUAAACAAAACACUCAGAGAAACUGCCAACCCUAGGAUGAAAUAUAUUGUUACUGUGCUUUGGGAUUAAAAUAAGUAACUACAGUUUAUAGAACUUUUAUACUGAUACACAGACACUAAAAAGGGAAAGGGUUUGGAUGAGAAGCUCUGCUAUGUAAUCAAGAAUCUCAGCCACUCAUUUCUGUAGGAGCUGCAGGAGCUCCCUGUAAAGAGAGGUUAUGGAGUCUGUAGCUUCAGAUGGGCACAUCAUAGAAACUGUCAUCCUAGAUCAGAGCCUGGAGAGAGAGAUACAGGUGUCAUGCUUACAUCUGUAGAGUGGGAACAAGCCCAGAAAAGUCAAGACGAUUAAGCAGAGAGCUUCCAUACUGGAGAUAAACCAGCUGUGUAAAAAAUCAUGCUUAUGGUACAAAAAAGCAUUGCACCAUCGAAAUAACUGCUUUGACUAAGAAGUAAAGGAACUGAUGCCCCAGCAGAGCACAGAGAGCCACAGAGACAGGAGCUGCGUUUCAAACAAGGUCAUUGCUGCUGUCCCCACACUGAAAAGUGGAUGACCUGGGCCACCCUCCGCCACUGCCCUGUAAGGCCAUGGGACACACAGCCCAUCAGAUCUCUUCAUGUGGUCAUCCCCCGUUAGAUGGGAGAAAAUACACCUGCCUCAUUUUUGUACCUUCUGUGUGAACAUUCCACGACAGAGCUUCACUAAAUGUGUGAUGAAGAACUGAAUGAAUGAAUGAAUAUGAGAGAAAAUGAAUAAAUGGCUCAGAUCCUGGGCUGGAAAACUGUGUAUGAGGAUGGUGGGUAGAGGAGGGUCUGUUUUUCUUGCCUUUAAGUCAUUACUUGUCACUUUGGGGCAGGAGCACAAGCUUUGAAUGCAGACCGACUGGACUUUAAUUUUGGCUUUACUAGUUGUGAUUGUGUGACCUUGUGCAAGUUACUUAAACCAUCUGUCCUGUUUCUUCAUCUGUAAAAUGGAGAUAAUAAGAUGUCAAAGGA